rnacentral:rRNA from 1 species
CGCGUAGGCGGAAUCUUAAGUCAGGUGUGAAACUCUGGGCUCAACCUGGAGACUGCAUUUGAAACUGGGAUUCUUGAGGGCAGGAGAGGAAAGUGGAAUUCCUAGUGUAGCGGUGAAAUGCGUAGAUAUUAGGAGGAACCCCAGUGGCGAAGGCGACUUUCUGGACUGUACCUGACGCUGAGGCGCGAAAGCGUGGGGAGCAAACGGGAUUAGAUACCCCGGUAGUCCACGCUGUAAACGAUGGGUACUAGGUGUAGGAGGUAUCGACCCCUUCUGUGCCGCAGUUAACGCAAUAAGUACCCCGCCUGGGGAGUACGGCCGCAAGGUUGAA